UACACGAAUUCGUCUACAACCUCUAAUC
rnacentral:sRNA from 1 species